AUCUUUCAGAAAAAAAAAAUCUAUUUUCUAGGAGUUUUUUUUCCCACCUCACUCUCACGUUCUUCUAUUUUCGGUGCCCGAUUUAGCUAUUUCUGGUGUAGCGGCACGCGAGUCUUUCAUUCAGUGUUCUCCAUCUUCAAACUUCGAUUGCUUCGACUCGUCUUCGCCGCCCGAUUUAGCUAUUUCCGGUGAGAAGAAAGUUUUUUCGAAUAGGGCUUUGCUUGCUUCGGAUUGCUUCGAAUUUUGAAGUUUGUCUGAUGUAAUCCUCGAGAAUUCCAUUAAACAUGAUGUAGAAGAAAGUCAUCCUCUCUAACAUUAGUUUCUUUUCUCUAUCAUCUGUCUCUCUCUCUUGCUAUUUCUCACUCACUUUUAUGUGGUUUCAUCAUCAUCUGCAACAGAGGACGGCAUCUUUCCCUACGCACAUUGUCAACGACAAGCCAAGCACAAUCUAGAAAUCUUCUUGGGCAUUGGAAUAGCAGAUCCACCAAUGUCUUCCUGCCGUUGGGUUCUCCCAGGAAAGAUACGCAAGAGAAGCAGCUGCCACAAUUUUCUCUUUCCCAACUCAACCGAAACCAUCCCAAAGACGGGAUGGUUAUCUAUAUUCUACGCUGUCAAACAAAUAAAAGAGCACAAAUUUUUUGGUGCUUUGGCUUGUCUUCUGGAGCUGAGUGCAAUUGUGAUAUUGGGUCUUUGAACUGUACAAGUCAACUGAUUUGGCCUUUGAGAAGUACCAGACCUGUUCCCAAAAGAUCUUGCAUUUCAAUCAGUAGGGGGGGGGGGCAACAAUAGAUUUGGUUGCCCGCAG